CCAGCGGGAUUCAACUGCAGCAAGAUGGCCACUGGGGGACGAGGAGCUGCAAGUGACCAGAGCCUUUGCUCCACGGCAAGGAGCUGGGAAUAAAACCAAGCCUUUAGGGGCAGCAGUGAGCCACCCUGAGGAGUCAUGCCAACGCUGCAGGUCAAGAAGAGAGACAGCCCACGGUGAGCUGUCAGCCUUCCCACAGCACGGUACCGUGGCCUGGGCCCACAGCCAGGGUGGCAAAAGCUGCCAGGCAGUCGUGAAUGGAGAGCAUGUGGGAAGUAAAGACAUGCAGCAAUGAAGAAGACGACGCCUCCUUGGACAUGUGACUAAGCUGCUCUUGGGUGAUUUCUACCAGCAAUGCAGACCUGACUGCAACAUCAUCCUUAGAAAGUGACAUUGGACCCGUAGUGCUCAGAGAAUAAGACCCCAACACCACCUGCCCCUCCGCCUUGGUGAGCAACUGCUAGCAGGCCGUAUUCCCUGCUGGAGUCAUCACGGCCUUUGGCACGAACGGGAGGGCUGGGUGCUGCUCUGGCUCUCAAGCACUGGGAGCUGUGAAGAACACCAGGACGAUGCCCCUUCACCCCUGGUGCCAGGCGAGUUGGAACGAGUCGUAGAGGAUUGCUCAUGUGCUGAGGAUUGAACCCAGAGCCUUGAGCGUGCUAACAAGCAAGCGCUUUACCAGUGAGCUACAUCCUCAGCCACUGAACUCUGCCGCUUCGAUUGGUCGGGUUCCCCCCACGAUCACGAUAAAGGACAUCACGUGCGCCCCACAGUUUGUUUUUCCAAAUUGCAAACGGACAAUGUGUUGCCCGUGGAUCACAGCUUUGUCAGUGUGACGCCUCGUGACACGGGCCCUCCCCGCUCCUUGCAGAGUUGGCCCAUGCUCCGAAGCCCAGUUCAAGUCUCUCCUGUCACCUCCAGUGCUGCUCCUCCGCGGCGGAGCUUCUCUUCCAGCUCGGGGUUUGCUCGACGGCAGUGACGCACCCGAAGCUGCGACCUCCGGACCACAGGCCUCUCCACGGCGUUCAGAGGGUCUUUUGAAGACCCUCCUGUGUCUGAACACAGCGGCACUUAGCAGGAGUUGAUACAGAGGCAGCCUGAAGCUCAUUUUGGAAAUGUGCCCAUAAAGGGGCAGGAAAAGAGUGCGUGGUAGUUAGGAAAAGAAAAUUUCAAAGCAGGCACAAAAAGCAAAGUGUGGGCCGGAAGUCAUUUGACGGAGUGCCUGUCGCCUGCACCGAGCAUGGUGGCACACGCUUGCGACUCUGGCACUCAGCCAGUGCAGGCAGGAAGAUCGCCAGUCCACGGUCACCCUCAGCUAUCCGGUGAGGCCAGCCCGGGGGCGCAUCGUGUAGUGGUCCACGCACCAUCUUUACAACUACUCGAGUUUUGGCUAAACCCCCGCUCCAGCUACCUCUUCCCCUGGGCUGUGCUUACGCGUCACUAAGAAUAAAGGCACUUCAAGCCACAGGAUCUUUUUCACAUCUAAAGCCUGUUAAUCCCUGAACAGAUCAUUAAGCACUCUGAAUUUUCAAAUUUCCGAUGGCCACAUAAAUCUCAGCAGAUGUGGGAGGAUCUGAAGUUCAAGGCCA